GAUGAACGCUGACAGAAUGCUUAACACAUGCAAGUCGAUGGGGAAGUGAUGCUUGCACCAUGGUAACCAUGGCGGACUGGUGAGUAACGCGUAAGGAACUUGCCUGCGGGACUGGGAUAACAGCAGGAAACUGCUGAUAAUACCGGAUAAGGUCAUUAAGCUGCAUAGCUUAGUGAUGAAAGGAGACGCCUGCGGAGAGCCUUGCGUCCUAUUAGCUAGUUGGAGGGGUAACGGCCCACCAAGGCGAAGAUAGGUAGCCGGCCUGAGAGGGUGGACGGCCACAAGGGGACUGAGAUACGGCCCUUACUCCUACGGGAGGCAGCAGUGGGGAAUAUUGGACAAUGGGGGCAACCCUGAUCCAGCAAUUCUGUGUGCACGAAGACGGUUUUCGGAUUGUAAAGUGCUUUCAGCAGGGAAGAAGGAAGUGACGGUACCUGCAGAAGAAGCGACGGCUAAAUACGUG
rnacentral:rRNA from 1 species